CGUAGCUCCUCCCAUCGCUGCGGAGGCUCUCCGGGGACAGAAAACUUUUGAGGCCAGUUCCAGCCUCCAUGUACCUGAGCCUGGGAAGCUGAUAAAGGAGAAGAAGGUGGAAAGAUGAAGGUGUGUUUGUAUGGAAUGCAUAUAGGCACACGUAGAAGAUAAAGGGCAACUCAUAGGCGUUGGUGCUUUCCUUGUAACACAUGGAUCCUAGGGAUUGAACACAGUCACCAGGCUUUGUAGCAAGUUCUCUUACCUACUGAUACAUCUUGACAGAUCUUUAAAAAAAAUUAAUGACUUUUAUGAAACACCAUGGUCAGACUUCCAGAGAUCUGUCUGUCUCUGUCUCAUUCAGCACUGGAGUCACAGAUGCACUACAUGUCUAUCUUCUGCAUGGAUGCUAGGGUUCCAAUCUCAGAUCU